UACAGAGGGUGCGAGCGUUAAUCGGAAUUACUGGGCGUAAAGCGCGCGUAGGCGGCUUUUCAAGUCGAUUGUGAAAUCCCCGGGCUUAACCUGGGAACUGCAGUCGAGACUGUCUAGCUAGAGUAUGGGAGAGGGAAGUGGAAUUUCAGGUGUAGCGGUGAAAUGCGUAGAUAUCUGAAGGAACAUCAGUGGCGAAAGCGACUUCCUGGACCAAUACUGACGCUCAUGUGCGAAAGCGUGGGUAGCAAACAGG
rnacentral:rRNA from 1 species